AAAGCUGGCAAUACAAAGCAGGCAGACACUGGGAGAGAAUGCACUAAACAAGCUGGAAAAAUGGUGUUAGAGAGAAAACAAAGGAUGGAAAAAAAAUGUAAGUCACAUGCAGUGUAUCUUUAUAUGACUUUAUUAUAUAAUUCAAAUAGUAAACCUGCCUAUACUUUAUAUAAUUAAUAACAAACUGCACCCCACUAUACUAUAAUAACAAACUGCACCCCACUAUACUAUAAUAACAAACUGCACCCCACUAUACUGUAAUACCAUACUGCACCCCCACUAUACUAUAAUACCAUACUGCACCCCCACUAUACUAUAAUACCAUACUGCACCCCACUACACUAUACCAACAUACUGCACCCCACUAUACAAUAAUACCAUACUGCACCCCCACUAUACUAUAAUAACAAACUGCACCCCACUAUACUAUAAUACCAUACUGCACCCCACUAUACUAUAAUACAAUACUGCACCCCACUAUACUAUAAUACCAUAAUGCACCCCCACUAUACUAUACCAACAUACUGCACCCCACUAUACUAUACCAACAUACUGCACCCCACUACACUAUAAUACCAUACUGCACCCCACUAUACUAUAAUACCAUACUGCACCCCCACUAUACUAUAAUAACAAACUGCACCCCCACUAUACUAUAAUACCAUACUGCACCCCACUAUACUAUAACAACAUACUGCACCCUACUACACUAUAAUAACAAACUGCACCCCACUAUACUAUAAUACCAUACUGCACCCCCACUAUACUAUAAUAACAUACUGCACCCCCACUAUACUAUAAUAACAAACUGCACCCCACUAUACUAUAAUAACAUACUGCACCCCCACUAUACUAUAAUAACAUACUGCACCCCCACUAUACUCUAAUAACAAACUGCACCCCCACUAUACUAUAAUAACAAACUGCACCCCACUAUACUAUAAUACCAUACUGCACCCCCACUAUACUAUAAUAACAAACUGCACCCCACUAUACUAUAAUAACAAACUGCACCCCACUAUACUAUAAUACCAUUCUGCACCCCACUAUACUAUAAUACCAUACUGCACCCCCACUAUACUAUAAUAACAAACUGCACCCCACUAUAUUAUAAUAACAAACUGCACCCCACUAUACUAUAAUAACAAACUGCACC
rnacentral:lncRNA from 1 species